UGGGGAAUAUUGGACAAUGGGGGAAACCCUGAUCCAGCAAUGCCGCGUGUGUGAUGAAGGCCUUCGGGUUGUAAAGCACUUUUGUCAGGGACGAUGAUGACGGUACCUGACGAAUAAGCUCCGGCUAACUUCGUGCCAGCAGCCGCGGUAAUACGAGGGGAGCUAGCGUUGUUCGGAAUUACUGGGCGUAAAGGGCGUGUAGGCGGUACCAUAAGUCAGAUGUGAAAGCCCUAGGCUUAACCUAGGAAUUGCAUUUGAGACUGUGGAACUAGAGAUCGAGAGAGGUAAGUGGAAUUACGAGUGUAGAGGUGAAAUUCGUAGAUAUUCGUAAGAACACCAGUGGCGAAGGCGACUUACUGGCUCGAUACUGACGCUAAGGCGCGAAAGCGUGGGGAGCAAACAG
rnacentral:rRNA from 1 species